rnacentral:lncRNA from 1 species
GGGUUGGUAGACUAGCUUGAAUAAGUAAAUUUCAUUACCGAGCAAUCCAAGUUUCCGAGGAGGCAACGAGGUUAUUAGUUGAUAGCGCUAUUAGGUUUGGCACCCUCACACCGUACCAGGGUGGUCGGGCGUGAACUAAUUUCCUUAAAGCAUGACCAAUGUUUUGAUAGAGACAUUGGGGUUGGGCAAACACAUCUUGUAGCCAUUUCGGUCGUUAGCUGUUUGCAUUGGAACUUGCUGUCUGGAGUAGCUGGAGUGGUCAUGGGUCGACUGGAAGGAUUCAUGUGAUUGAUUAUUGACAGUAUACAUUGGUUUUGAACAAUUUAACUUUGGUUUACUAUUCGCUUCCGCUGAACAUGUUGUGGCUCGUUAUUGGUAUGUCACACGCCUAACAAGGACAUUCCCUAGGUGGUAUUUUGGGGGUGUGACAACCAGGAGAAUCAUCAGGAAGCUGUAGUAUUAUCUACGUCAGCAAUGUGAGUACAUCUUACUUUUUGUCACCUUUUUUGUGAGUAAAAUAUUUUACAAAACCCUAAAUAUUUAUCAAGACACUUACAGUGAUUAAGUUUUUGUAAUUCUACAAUUAUCAUCAGUAUGUAGAGUUUUGUAUACAUUACUUGACACUCGUUACUAUUGCGAAUAGUAGCAUGACCGCAAGCACGGGGGACAAAGGUUGCCCGGUAGCAAUACUGUAUUGAAUAAUUGGAUAGAUAUAAACAUUGUAAAUCUUAAUACUGUAAAGUUGUAAAAUUGUUUUGAUUAAAGAGGGAUGCACUCGCCAGUAUUUCUUGCUGAUAAAAUCUUUUUAGAACGCGUUUUAGGUAACUUAAUAUGAACCUAAUAGAAGCCAGCUGGAGAGCACUAAAGGCUUAAAGAUGUGGCUAUAAAAGUUACCUAAAUAAAAAGGAGAUUUUGUUUUUAAUAAAUUAGGGUUAUCCCUAUAAAUGUGUUGUAUUUGAAACUUGGAUUUUAUCCUGUUUAUUUAUUUUAAAAGUUUGGUGUUUUAAAAUCUGAUAAAAUAUUUCCUAACUACAGUCCUGAUGUUUAAAUUCCGCUGCCAAAUUAAUAAACACCAAUACCACUUUCUCUGAGUCUCGCGGCACCCGCUCCCGGGGUAGGGGUCGGGGGUUGUGACAUUUAGCUUCCGAAAAGCAUCCUUAAAGCUCUGGGUACCUGCAAAUCAAACCACUCUCAAAGUAAACUGGUUUCACACGAUAACACACUAAAAACCACAUAAUUUCAUACGUUAAAAACAAGACAAAUACCCUCAUAUCACAACAUGUUCUUACAUUUACAUUAUAUAAUUUUUAGUCUCGAAAACUGUGUGUGCUAUCAUGUACCAGUUGCAGGGAUUUCCUCAGUUUCGGGGCCUUACAAUAUUAUAUUUAACAUCAAGUGAAUUUA